AGAGUUAUAUUUAAAUAUAAUAUUUAAUUUGCAAUUAAAAGGUGCUAACUAGCUAACUUUA
rnacentral:tRNA from 1 species